rnacentral:rRNA from 1 species
UACAGAGGUCUCAAGCGUUGUUCGGAUUCAUUGGGCGUAAAGGGCUCGUAGGCGGCCAACUAAGUCAACCGUGAAAUCCCUCGGCUUAACCGGGGAACUGCGUUUGAUACUGGAUGGCUUGAGUUUGGGAGAGGGAUGCGGAAUUCCAGGUGUAGCGGUGAAAUGCGUAGAUAUCUGGAGGAACACCGGUGGCGAAGGCGGCAUCCUGGACCAAUACUGACACUGAGGAGCGAAAGCCAGGGGAGCAAACGGG